ensembl:lncRNA
CCGGAUAGGAAAUGUAUUCCAUCCCAGAUGCUAGAAUUCACGUCGGCCAUUUUAAGAACGUCGGCCAUUUUAAGAAAACCUCCCAAACGUCGACACGCGGAAUCCGUUGUAAGAGCCGUAGAUUCGUUUAUUUCGCGAAUAAACAUGGCGGUAGUGUCUGUGUCACCCAUAAUGCAGUGCAAACAAGUGGCAAGUGGAUUCACAGCUGUAACAUUUACAUGAUUGUGUGAUGAAAUAAAGCAGGACGUUAGGUACGUUAUCUUUCAUCUAUAGCUAUAUUUAGAGUCACAUCCAGUGCUAGGCUCUGGAUCCAAGAUGAAUUAAUAUAUGGCGUGUUUAUUAUGUUGUGGAAUGUCUGCGACAGUUUACUUCCUGAUAUCACUUAUGUUAUAGCAGCUAUAAAAAAAAUUCAAAAAAAGGGUUGUUCCCUCCCAUGAUAAAAGGCUAACAUCCUGUCAGAAAACUGAAGCGUUACAGCGUGCUGGCACUGGAGACUCCGUCUGUAAAUAUUACACAGACGUCUCCUCACAGAAGACUUACCGUAUUAAGCGUCCACCGUACGAGUCCCCGUGUUAGAAGAGGUGCAUUAAUAUAAACCUGGGGUUUGAUAUAUUUUCAGAACUGCUGUUCAAAUCAAGUACGAACAAAACGAUUAAAACCGUGAAAAACGAGAAGCGUGAACACGAGCUGUGGAUACAAGGACAAAAAAAAACAACAACAACAUACGGAUUAUACACUGUGGCACACACGACAAUAACAAAAGCUCGACAGUGAGAAAUAGAAAAGUUAGAACGUAACACAAUAGUGGCGCUAACAAGUAUAAGACGACACAGGUGAGAGUGAUUAGUGACAGGUGACGUGCUGGGGCUGAUGGGUAGUGUAGUUCAGCGCCCACUGGCAUUACCAUGGUAUAAUGUAAAGUACUAGCUCAUAGGCUCAUCACUAAACCGCCGUUAGCCAGCUACUGAGUGCUCUUCAUCAUCACAUUAUAAUGUUCUGUUUAUUAGAGACUCUUCUUCGUGACGCAGCGUAUGUUCACUGUCCUCAAACACUAUCCAUUCUCUGUACCGCUUAUCCUACACUUGGGUGCACACGAGGCAGGGGACACCCUGCACACACACCGGACACUUAAGACAUGCCAAUCGGCCUACGACGCAUGUCUUUGGACUGGAGGAGGAAACCGGAGUCCGUCCAUCCAUCUUCUAUACCGCUUUAUCCUUUUCAGGGUCACGAGGAAACCUGGAGACUAUCCCAGGGAGCAUCGGGCACAAGGCGGGGUACACCCUGGACAGGGUGCCUAUCAUUCAUACGCUACGGACACUUUGGACACGCCAAUCAGCCUACCAUGCGUGUCUAUGGAUUGGAGGAGGAAACCGGAGUACCCGGAGGAAACCCCCGCAGCACGGGGAGAACAUGCAAACUCCAUGUACACAGGGCAGAGGCAGGAAUCGAACCCCCGACCCUGGAGGAGCGAGGCGUACGUGCUAACCACUAAGCCACCGUACACGCAUAUAAACACACACAUAUAAACAUAUAAGAUUGACUCCGGUGUUCUACACACUUCAUGAGGUAAAGCUGAUAAAAGCGUGUUGAAAGUAGUAAUGGAACACAGCACACGUGUAAUUAAUAUUCAAAGAUCAAACGCUGUAAAAGCAGAGCUAUGUAUGUUCACACGGAAUUGUUGUUAAUUCACUGAAGGUUGACUGGACUCCUGGUCUGUAUUGGGGCUGUGUGUUUUUCUUUGUUUGUUUUUUUUUCUUUUUUUGAUCUCGUGUUGUCGAAGGCUUCUCUGAUUUGUCGUAUGUCUCUAACGCGUCUCUAUCGGAACAGCAUUCCCGUCUCUGUGAACCCUAUGGAGAACGUAAAUAAACUCAACGUUAUGUUUGUACAGCCAGAUCUGGCGGUGACUUUCUCUUCCUCGGCCUCAUACGGAGCAGUGUGAAGGUCAAGGUUUACCGUUCAUAGCAACGGCUUUUCUCUUACAAAACCUUUAAAAGCUUUUCUAUUACCACAGAGCGUGUUCCCUCGACUGAGCGAUGCUGAUGGUUGAGUAGAGAGGGUAAAUAUAGCAGUAAUGAUCACUGCUAGGCCACAACGUUUACAGAGAGACGGGUCGUUUCAGACCUGAAGCUGAUAGGCUAUAUAAGAUUCUUAAAAUUAUACUCAACUCUAGAAUUAUUGGCGCCCAUGAAGAAAAUGAAACUGACACGCACUGUUUAAAUCACUCGUAAGUACUCCACUGAAAUCAUUUUGAAGGCAGUUAAAAGUUCUUAGCUUCCGACAAAAGUUUGUUUUUUUUACUUUACUUUAUAGAGUACUUUAAGUACUUGUACUGUGUAGGGUUCUAUGUAAAUCUUCUAUGAAAAUAAGGGUUCCCCAGUAGGACCAUUGAAAGAUAAGAUAAGAUAAGAUAAGAUGCACCGUUAUAGAUCCAACAUAGGGGAAAUUCAAGUUCACACAGCAGCAGAAGUAGGAGGAGUAACAUCAAGAAUUUCCAGAAUUACCUAAACGUUUACAAUUACCGAAGCAUAAAGUAAAAAUUCCAUCCAUCCAUCCAUCUUCUAUACCGCUUAUCCUUUUCAGGGUCACGGGGAAACCUGGAGACUAUCCCAGGGAGCAUCGGGCACAAGGCGGGGUACACCCUGGACAGGGUGCCAGUCCAUCGCAGGGCAACAAUCACAUACACACUCACACACCCAUUCAUACAGUACGGACACUUUGGACACGCCAAUCAUGUCCAUACCAUGCAUGUCUUUGGACUGAGGGAGGAAACCGGAGUACCUGGAGGAAUGCACAGGGAGAACAUGCAAACUCCACAUACAGACACACACACACACACACACACACACACACGCACACACACGCACACACACAGGGCAGUGGCGGGAAACGAGCCCCCAACCCUGGAGGUGUGAGGCAAACUUGCAAAAAUGAUAGAAGAUGAAUAGAAAUAAUAGAAAGAAUAAAAUAGAUCCGUAUGUAUGUACAUAUGCUAGAGUUUUAUUUGUAUAUAUACAUGUGCAAUAUCCUAGUGAAGUAGUAAUAGGAGGAGGAGGAGGAGCAGUAGUAAUAAUAGUAGUAGUAAUAGGAGGAGGAGGAGGAGUAAUAGUGGUAAUAGUAGUAGUAAUAGGAGGAGGAGGAGGAGGAGGAAUAGUGGUAAUAGUAGUAGUAAUAGGAGGAGGAGGAGGAGUAAUAGUAGUAAUAAUAGUAGUAAUAGGAGGAGGAGGAGGAGGAGGAGUAAUAGUGGUAAUAGUAGUAGUAAUAGGAGGAGGAGGAGGAGGAAUAGUGGUAAUAAUAGUAGUAGUAAUAGGAGGAGGAGGAGGAGGAGGAAUAGUGGUAAUAAUAGUAGUAGUAAUAGGAGGAGGAGGAGGAGUAAUAGUAGU